rnacentral:rRNA from 1 species
AGCGCCGCGAUUCGCCAUGUGCCAAGCAGCCGCGGUAAUUCCAGCUCCAAUAGCGUAUAUUAAAGUUGUUGCGGUUAAAAAGCUCGUAGUUGGAUCUCGGCGAACAGGGGGCGGUUCGUUAUUUGACGGUACUGCCCCAUUUGUUCGUAUUUUUGCAAGAGGGUUGGGGGUCCCCUUCAUUGGGUGUCUCCGGUCGCUUGCAGGUUUACUUUGAAAAAAUUAGAGUGCUCAAAGCAGGCUUACACGCUUGAAUAUUCGUGCAUGGAAUAAUAGAAUAGGAAGUCGUUUCUAUUUUGUUGGUUUUCGGAAAAUGACUUAAUGAUUAAUAGGGACAAUCGGGGGCAUUAGUAUUCAAACGACAGAGGUGAAAUUCUUGGACCGUUUGAAGACUAACUACUGCGAAAGCAUUUGCCAAGAGUGUUUUCAUUAAUCAAGAACGAAAGUUAGAGGUUCGAAGGCGAUCAGAUACCGCCCUAGUUCUAACCAUAAACGAUGCCAGCUAGCGAUCUGCGGGUGUGUAAAAACAAGACCCCGCAGGGAGCUUCCGGGAAACCAAAGCUUGUGGGUUCCGGGGGAAGUAUGGUUGCAAAGCUGAAACUUAAAGGAAUUGACGGAAGGGCACCACCAGGAGUGGAGCCUGCGGCUUAAUUUGACUCAACACGGGAAAUCUCACCAGGCCCGGACACCGGAAGGAUUGACAGAUUGAGAGCUCUUUCUCGAUUCGGUGGGUGGUGGUGCAUGGCCGUUCUUAGUUGGUGGAGUGAUUUGUCUGGUUAAUUCCGAUAACGAACGAGACUCUGUCCUGCUAAAUAGUAAGCUGAUUACUUUGUCAGCUUGUCUUCUUAGAGGGACUGGCGGAUUUAAACCGCACGAGAUUGAGCAAUAACAGGUCUGUGAUGC